CGGAGGACCACAGCAUUAUUGUAAUGACUGCCUAGUGCCACUGACUGUGAGACACUUGCUGGUGACUUGGGGAGUUGUUUUCUGUCUGAGUGCCGGCAGGUGGAUGGCUCCUCCAUCUGAAAGUGGUGUGGUGGCUCACUGGCAAGGUGACCUUUGUGGAUGACGGAGGCCUCGGCUUCGACUGAAGACGUGUUGAACUGGACGAGUCAGAGGCAGUAUUUUAAAUGGU